AAGGAAGAAGAAGAAAAGAAGUAUACCUGCAUAUUAUAUAGAACAAGCUGCAGUGAGGACCUGAUAGUCAAAAUUACUUGGAGGAAAAUCACAGCUCUUCUCCCCUAGAAAGUCUGCUGAGUCUCACCAGGAGAAUCUCACAGGGAGGCUGCCACGAAUUCUCUCUGCAAGGACUGUGAAACUCAGGGUCCUGGAACCUGGGGAGAUCGAGGGACAACUGUACAUCAGCCUGCUGAGAAAUGUUUUGCAGGAUUCAUGAUUGGGAUCUUCGUACUAAGCCUUUCUUGAGGGAGUGUCUCAGACUCAACCAGCCUCAAUUUUCCCAUGAAUCCUUCUUCAUUGCCUUCCUAGAUUGCUACUCCGCAUCUCAGCUGACCCCAUACAAACAAACUCCAAUAGUGUCUCCAA
rnacentral:lncRNA from 1 species